AACAAACGCUGGCGGCAUGCCUAACACAUGCAAGUCGAACGAAGUCUUCGGACUUAGUGGCGCACGGGUGCGUAACGCGUGGGAAUCUGCCCUUGGGUGCGGAAUAACUUCUCGAAAGGGAUGCUAAUACCGCAUAAUGUCGUAAGACCAAAGAUUUAUCGCCCAAGGAUGAGCCCGCGUAAGAUUAGCUAGUUGGUGGGGUAAAAGCCUACCAAGGCGACGAUCUUUAGCUGGUCUGAGAGGAUGAUCAGCCACACUGGGACUGAGACACGGCCCAGACUCCUACGGGAGGCAGCAGUGGGGAAUAUUGGACAAUGGGCGAAAGCCUGAUCCAGCAAUGCCGCGUGAGUGAUGAAGGCCCUAGGGUUGUAAAGCUCUUUUACCAGGGAUGAUAAUGACAGUACCGGGAGAAUAAGCCCCGGCUAACUCCGUGCCAGCAGCCGCGGUAAU
rnacentral:rRNA from 1 species